rnacentral:lncRNA from 1 species
UUGGAAAAUGUAGAAAAUAGAAAUCAGAAUAUAAAGCGUUACGCACUACCUAUUCACUAAGGUUUAAUUGAAUUUCCAGGAACUAUUCAGUGUACCAUUUUUCGAUUCCUCGAAAGUGAAUGUGUUCAUAAUUUUGAGUGUCAGGUCGAAGUUCUCAGUGGCCUCAGAAAGAGGAGUCAUCAUAGUGCAUGCCAGAUGACAUGAUGUACCACCGAAUUCUACUUUUCUCGGCACUCUUCAUCUGCAAAGUAAAUGCAGAAUCUUUUCUAAUCAACCGUUUAGAUUUGACUCAAGAUGGUCGAGGUAUUCCAGUGAGGCAUUCAGUGGUAACUUCUAUCGACGCAGAGGCGGCGGGAGAUUCCGGGUCAGGGGACCGGUCUUCGGAGAGCGUGGCUCUAGCGUUGGUGACGAGGGCGCCACGCUCCAGCGCCUCCCGUUCCGUAACCCGAACGGAGAGCAGCGCCAGCAAAAGGCGAGAUUGGACCCAGAAUGCAGGUUUGGGUUUACUCAAACGUAUGUUUACGAGGAGAUCGAAACCAAAGGGUAUUCCGGAUUCGAACACGCAGAGUCCCGAGAGACGGAGGCGCCACUGUUGUCGUCGGUGUAGUCGGUGUGCCGCCGUAAGAGACCGCAGAGGCAACAACAGCAUGGCAACCAACCCCACAACCCACAGUCAACCAACUACAACCACCCUCAUUACAAUCCUUACGGCAAUCCUUACAACCCGCAUUCUACCCGGCCGACAUCGUUGCCGUUUCCAAGGCAUUCAUCAUCGCUAA